rnacentral:lncRNA from 1 species
UUGUUCUGGGACACAGCACUACCUCCGCUGUGCCAGAUCCACCAGGCAACUGUGGUUGCUCCACUGGCACAGGCUCGGAACGAAAGACUGUCUAGUGUGCUUGAUGAGUCUCCGAUUACGUUGAUCUUUGCGUCCCAAGACGAUGUCAACGGCGCUCCAGCAGCCAGCAGUAACGGCAGUAGAGAAGUGCAGUUGGUGGUUAUAGCAUGAUGCAGCGGGUAACAGGAGUGGCCUCCCGGAGGCUCCAAAGGAGCACCGGAAGCCAGUAAUGAAGAGGCCUCCUUCACCGCUGUAAGACGGGCUGCCUGUUCCUCAUUAUCUCCUUCCUCCAGGUGGCCCUUCUCCCGGGCGAGGUCCGAGGGCGUCUUGCCGUCGUGGGUGCGGGCGGUGGGCAGGGCGCCGCGCUCCAGCAGGACCCCGAUUUUGGGUCGGUCGCCCUGCUCCGCCGCCACGUGGAGCAGCGUCCGGCCCCGCUCGUCCUGGUAGUGCAUGUCGCAGACGCCCAAGUCAACGGCAGUGGCCAAGGCUUCCGCGCUCGCGUUCUUCUCUCUGCAGAGCUCGACUACCGAAGUGUGUCCGCAAAGAGCGGCAUAAUGAAGAGGUGUGUUAUUUCGUUCGUCUGUUGCAUUAGGAUCGGCUCCAUGAAGGACCAACAGUUUGACCAAAACAGCGUCACCUGUGAGAGCAGCAUAAUGCAAAGCAAGAUGAAGUGGGGUGUCACCAGAAUCAUUUGUUUGGUUUGGGUCAGAUUUUCUAUCCAGCAAUAAUCUUGCAACAUCGGUGUGUCCUUCAAAGGCUGCAAAAUGGAGUGGAGUGUAAUUGCUGCUGGUAGAAGCAGAGGGGUCUCCGCCAUCUUCCAGCGAUCUGAGGACGUCGCCAGCGAGUCCUCUCCUUGCCGCUUCGUGAAUGUCUCCCAUGUUCCUCAAAUCCAAUCGAAGGACCUCAAGGACGCCGUCACAUUCCCUACAUCACAUCCCGUAAGGUUGUGGCUGUGCUGAUACUGGUUAAGGAUUUCGGUGAAACUGGCGCUGUAUUCCGUCCAAGGCGUCGAUAUGGUGAGGACAGACCCAGUGUAGCAGUCUCCGUCCUUAUUCGCCGGGCCUUGCCAGGAGACAUUCAGCAAACCGCCGUUCGAUUCAACGCUGACUGAAGCUGGCGUAUCGAAGGACCUCAAGGACGCCGUCACAUUCCCUACAUCACAUCCCGUAAGGUUGUGGCUGUGCUGAUACUGGUUGAGGAUUUCGGUGAAACUGGCGCUGUAUUCCGUCCAAGGCGUCGAUAUGGUGAGGACAGACCCAGUGUAGCAGUCUCCGUCCUUAUUCGCCGGGCCUUGCCAGGAGACAUUCAGCAAACCGCCGUUCGAUUCAACGCUGACAGAGGCAGGCGUAUAUGCUCUCCCUCCCCCUUCUGCAUCAUGGCACGGACUCUGCAGCAUAGGAGCGAUGGCUAAGGAGCCACCUAUCGAGGAGCGCAGAGUGAAGACGUAGCUCCUCAAACUCUUCAUCAGAAUAUCGGACGAUGGGAUGGCGGAUAUGCAUAAGGUGGUCCCCGGUGAGAAGCUUUUGUCAGACGGCGUGCGAUGGCGGUGUGACCAUAGUCCGGUUCCUUUCCACUAUCGGGAAGUACCUCUGAGCAUUUCUCUGUUGUACACUUGUAUCUCAUGACAUACAAUGCACUUUGUAUGGACGAAUAAAGUGCCAACACUUUCAAAGACAGGACUCCAUGAUAAGUAGACACACAGUCGAAACAUGCUCGGUCCCUUUGCCUCAUUUGGCAUGGCAUGUUCAGGUUGCAUGGUUGAGAACAGGCAAUAGAGUCAAUAUUCUACCAAGACACUCUCUAUCCAAGGGAAUCUUCAUCGAUACGAGUCUUCAUCCAAGGAAUUUCUGUUUCUAAGCAAGGGAUUUUUUAGACAAAAAGUCCUUUUUUGACAGCGUAACGUAUAGCCAUCUCAGAAUCUGCAAUAACUCGGGAUAUGGUCACACGUUGUGAAGACAUUAGUCUUGCAAGGCACUGAAGGAUUAUUAUUAGUGCUCCUGUCCUUUACCCGGCAGGACACUGGGGCCGGUUUAACCGCAUACAAGCGCGCAAAAUACCACUUAUUGGGUCACGAUCAUGAACCAGCUGCUGGAUUCCUUCGCGAUUCAAAUCUCACUGGUGAAUAAUAGGAGUCACUGUGUUUGCGAUCAGCUGCCGUAGACGAAGAAUUGCUGGUCAUUUUCGUUCAUAGUUACGGUAUACCGCUUCGGGAGAGGAUUAGGGGUUUCUUCCGAGGAAUGCAUCACAUGUGUCAUCUAAGAUAAUUAUUUUUUGGCUAAUUAUGAAAAUGAAGAUGAAAGCUUGUUAAGUUUCUUUGCAAAUACAGUGUCCUUAAUAAACAUUCGAAAAGCAUCACAAUUGUAUAUCAGUUGUAACUUUUAAUAACAUAUAAUCAAAACACACCUGGUACUCAGUCCCAAGUUACGUCAUCUUUUCCAAGGCAUAACCGGAUAUAUCGUUUAAUAGUAUGCAUAGGGCAACACACACACACACACACACACACACACACACACACACACACACACACACACACACGCAUAUGUAUGUGUGUGCACGCCCGCGUAUACAUUCACAUUAAGUUUCAGUGUUUUUCAUUAUGCCCACAUUUAUUCUGCAUCAUAUACAGUACAUAUACAUACAUAACUUACCGGUAUGUGAUAUUUCUCUACUAUAAUGAUUAUCUAUGUUGUCACAAUAAUGAGAUGGAUUUUGCACAAUUCCAGGAACUCACCUCAGG